AGUGAACGCUGGCGGUAGGCCUAACACAUGCAAGUCGAACGGCGGCACAGUAAGAGCUUGCUCUUACGGGUGGCGAGUGGCGGACGGGUGAGGAAUACAUCGGAAUCUACUUUUUCGUGGGGGAUAACGUAGGGAAACUUACGCUAAUACCGCAUACGACCUACGGGUGAAAGCAGGGGAUCUUCGGACCUUGCGCGAUUGAAUGAGCCGAUGUCGGAUUAGCUAGUUGGCGGGGUAAAGGCCCACCAAGGUGACGAUCCGUAGCUGGUCUGAGAGGAUGAUCAGACACACUGGAACUGAGACACGGUCCAGACUCCUACGGGAGGCAGCAGUGGGGAAUAUUGGACAAUGGGCGCAAGCCUGAUCCAGCCAUACCGCGUGGGUGAAGAAGGCCUUCGGGUUGUAUAGCCCUUUUGUUGGGAAAGAAAAGCAGCAGGUUAAUACCCCGCUGUUCUGACGGUACCCAAAGAAUAAGCACCGGCUAACUUCGUG
rnacentral:rRNA from 1 species